GAUGAACGCUAGCUACAGGCUUAACACAUGCAAGUCGAGGGGCAACGAGAGGAAAGCUUGCUUUCCUUGUCGACGACCGGCGCACAGGUGAGUAACGCGUAUCCAACCUGCCCCCAACUAGGGAAUAACCUUGCGAAAGUAAGACUAAUACCCUAUAAUUUCCUCAGAUGUCAUCUGACGAGGAAUAAAGAUUUAUCGGUUGUGGAUGGGGAUGCGUCUGAUUAGCUUGUUGGCGGGGUAACGGCCCACCAAGGCAACGAUCAGUAGGGGUUCUGAGAGGAAGGUCCCCCACAUUGGAACUGAGACACGGUCCAAACUCCUACGGGAGGCAGCAGUGAGGAAUAUUGGUCAAUGGGCGGAAGCCUGAACCAGCCAAGUAGCGUGCAGGAUGACGGCCCUAUGGGUUGUAAACUGCUUUUAUACAGGAAUAAAGUUAGCCACGUGUGGUUAUUUGUAGGUACUGUAUGAAUAAGGACCGGCUAAUUCCGUGCCAGCAGCCGCAGUAAAAC
rnacentral:rRNA from 1 species